rnacentral:rRNA from 1 species
GAUGAACGCUGGCGGCGUGCCUAAUACAUGCAAGUCGAGCGAAUGGAUUAAGAGCUUGCCCUUAUGAAGUUAGCGGCGGACGGGUGAGUAACACGUGGGUAACCUGCCCAUAAGACUGGGAUAACUCCGGGAAACCGGGGCUAAUACCGGAUAACAUUUUGAACCGCAUGGUUCGAAAUUGAAAGGCGGCUUCGGCUGUCACUUAUGGGUGGACCCGCGUCGCAUUAGCUAGUUGGUGAGGUAACGGCUCACCAAGGCAACGAUGCGUAGCCGACCUGAGAGGGUGAUCGGGCACGCGGGGACUGAGACACGGCCCCGACUCCUACGGGAGGCAGCAGUAGGGAAUCUUCCGCAAUGGACGAAGGUCUGACGGAGCAACGCCGCGUGAGUGAUGAAGGCUUUCGGGUCGUAAAACUCUGUUGUUAGGGGAGAACAAGUGCUAGUUGAAUAAGCUGGCACCUUGACGGUACCUAACCAGAAAGCCACGGCUAACUACGUGCCAGCCGCCGCGGUAA